CAAUUCAUUCAAUUCCUUUCUAACCUAACUUAAAAAUACAAGCUCCUGGAAGUUAUUGAAUUCCCGGGCAGUUCGCACGCGUCCACCUAGCUCUUUCCGCUUCUCACCGCCGCCGCCACUACCACCACCACCUUCCUCGCUUCUUCCAUAAUACUCGCCCCAGGCCGCUGUCCUCCCUAUCUCGCUCGCCUCUGCUUCUCUUCUUUUUUUCAAGGUGUUCUUGUUCGUUGCUGGUAGGUUUUUAAUCACAGAUAAUGCUCAGUGCACUCGUGAUAUUGUGAUGGAACUUCUGCAAAGACUCAAUUCUGAAGAGGGCAUGUGCGAAAUAGAUGUGAGUAACUAUCUAGUAAUGUUACAUUCUUAAUACUUUUUCGAUUACUCAUCUAAAAUCUGUAACAGUUUCAUCUCGUUCUGUUUAUUUUUUUUCCUUCGGCUGCAUGCAAGCUUUUUCUGUAGUGGCUGCAAGUGCACAAGCAAGUCGCGUGAAGCUGAAUGAACUCAGAGGCCAUCAUUUAACUGCCUGACAGGUUGUCUACUGCACUAACUUGAGUUGGAGUGCUGAUGGCCAAACAUUGCUCAGUGGAUACACUGGCGGUGUUAUUAGAGUUUAUGGCAUUGCCCGUUACUAGAAAGUAAAUUUCUAUGUGGCGAGAACAAUCAUACUUCUUUUAUCACAAUCUCUUAGAGGGGGUUCAGUUGUGGGGGGGCAACAAGGUUGCACUUCUCGGAUUUGGUUGAGGCUCCUUUUCGUUGAAUCAAUUCAGCAAAAUUAAAAUAUUGUUCUUCUCUAAACCCAAGUUCACCGAACAAGGCUUAGAAGGAAGCUUAUUGAUCAUGGAGAGCUUGGACUUUAUGAAUAUAUUUGAGACAGAUGCAAGGAAUGUUCAUCUGCACCCAGUUAUGUUGUCAGUUUUUAGAUUCGUAUUGGAUAAACCGAAUUUCAGUAAUGUUCUCUGCCAGUCUCUUCAACUUACAGUUAGGUCUCUCCCUUUCCGAAAACAUUGUUGUUGGUCUUGCAUUAUUCAACUGGUUGUAUAUGGAAGGUGGCUAUAAUCUGAAUGUUGCUUUAUUUUUAGGUAUUGAGAAACAGACUGAUGUUGGUGCCGUGUCAUAGAGAUUCUAGUAGAGUUGGAGAAUCUUGUUUGGGACUCCCCCCUAUAUUCCUUUUGGUGACAAAUUGUUCUUAUAUGUUAAAUUACCUACUGUUGGUGAAAAGUAAUUGUUCUUAUGUUUAGGACUUAUCGGACUUGGAAAUCCAACAACAUAAGAUCUCGAAAGUCUCUAAGAUGGAAAGAUUACAUGCAUCGCCAACUGGAAAUGCUUGAAUGUGGCUAUUACGUCAUGAAGUAGAUGUAUCAAAUAAUAUUGCUAGGAUUACAGAAUAUUGGUAAUCUGGAAGAGAUAUUCUCUCCAAACCCGUACAAUCAAGAGGAAAUCGAUGACGUUCGAGAAAAAUAUGGAGCAGAUAUUUUAUUAGUAGUUGUUUGUAGUCAUUUUCUAGUUUUCAGAGAUAGAAAAUUAUUUUUUGGAAUACAUUAUUUAUACUUGUUGAACCAACUUUCUUGUUUGAAUUAAUAAACAAACUUUUUGCAA